rnacentral:pre_miRNA from 1 species
AAUAAGUGCAGCCAUAGAAAUCCGUGUCCAACGUUUGACCGUCCGUCUUAUUUGAAAAAUUUAUGAAAAAUUUAAAAAAAUUUAGUCACACAUAAAGUACUAUUCAUGUUUUAUCAUCUAAUAACAAUAAAAAUAGUAAUCAUAAAAAAUUUCAAAUAAAACGAAUGGUCAAACGUUGGAGAUGAAUAGUGUAAAAUUACACUUAUU